GACAGAGGUGCCGAGCGUUAGGCGGAAUCACUGGGCUUAAAGCGUGUGUAGGCGGACUUCUAAGUACCUUGUGAAAUCCCACGGCUCAACCGUGGAACUGCUUGGUAUACUGGUCGUCUUGAGCCACCUAGGGGCAACCGGAACAAACGGUGGAGCGGUGAAAUGCGUAGAUAUCGGAAGGAAUACCGGUGGCGAAGGCGGCAUCCUGGACCGGCAUUGACGCUGAGUGAGCGAAAGCCAGGGGAGCAAACGGG
rnacentral:rRNA from 1 species